rnacentral:lncRNA from 1 species
CCGUUUUGACGAUUCGUCGUCUAGGAGCCCUGAACCUCACUUCAACUCCGAUGGCUGCGGAGAGAGCAAGGACUCGGCUACCAGGUAUGUUUGCUAUCCCUUUUUUUUAUUAUUUCAUAUAUGUAUGUGUGAUAAUGAAGAACAGAUUGAAGAAAACAAGAAAAAAAAUGAAAACAAACUUUGAGAUUCACCUUUUUUAAAAACGAUCUCUUUUUUUUCUUUCUUUUUUGUAUUUCAAUAUCUCUGUAAAAGAGAAUCCUCUACAGUGUUUUUUUAAUCGGCAUUAUAUCCGAAUCGAAUAGAAGAGAAAAAAUAAAAUACCAAAAAAAAGAAUAAAAUACAUAUCCUUUUCUCUACUAUUUUUUCUAUUUUAUAUUUUCUGUUGCUCUUGUUGGUGUUGUUUGUCUGUUUGCUGCGCAGGUACGGGCGUACGACGCCAGCUGGGCGUGGAGACGGUGGUGCACGUGCGAGGGCAAAGCUUAAUUGCGGCGCUGGAGGCUCACCAUUACUGCUAAGGUUUUCGGUGUUUGGGGGGCAGUUGGGCCAUGAUAGUUGGGCUAGAUGGGUUUGUAAUUUGGGCCUGGUGUUGGGUAAUGCAAUUAGGUAAUGGGUUAGGUUUAUGUUAAAUGGUUUGGGCCGAAUUGGGCCCUAUCAGGCCUGUUGUAAUAGACUGUGUGCAUUUUAAAAUUUGGUUUUAUUUUCAUUUAUAAAAUUGGGUUUAUUUAGGUUUGCGGGCCAGGGCAAAAAUGGGCUCUUACAAAUAGGAUAAUUAAACAUCAUCACCUCCUUUGGUUAUUAGUGUAAUAGCAUAAGCAAAAAAAUUAUUUAGUCUAUAUGUUUUAACAUGAGGAAAAACUAAUAUAAUGAAUGGGUGAACCUUGUUUAUCUGUCUGUAACAGGCCCAAGUUGCCCGGGGCAUAUUUAAAAGGCCAAAAAUUCAAAAAGGAAAUAUUAGAGUCAGUCCAAAAGGGUCCAUUUACAAAUUGGCCCAAACCAGUUACCAAAAAAAUACAAAGGCCCGAAAUACAAACUAAACCCAAUAUAACUAGUCCAAAUUAGCCUAGCCCAGACCCGAUUACAAUAGGAUGGGAAGCCCUAGCGUUAACCCCAACCAGCGCCGCAGCAGACGUCCCCUCGCACGUAGCACCGCUCGCACGAGCCUCGUACGCGUGCCUUCGCCUCCGUACAUGCCACAUCCGCAACCUCUGCACACAGUACCUGCAAGAGACGCACAAAGCGCAACAGAAACAGACCACAAAACGAAAAGAGGCAAAAAUCGUCAGAGAAAAGUAAAAAAUAAGAAAAUAAAAGAAAAAUAGAAAAAAAUUGUCUUGAUUUUUAUUUUAUUUUAUUUUCGGGUUAUAAAAACCCCAAGUUGUAUCAUUUUCAAAAAGGGAGGAAAUCAGAAUAUAAAAAAAAACAACAAAAAAAGAGGUAGAUAUUUCUCUCUUCUUUCGAUUUUGUUGCGUUCUUCCUUUCGAUUCUCUUAGUGAUAAACUAAAUAGGAGUUUAAGUUUCGAGUUUACCUGCCUCGAUGACCCAGCCGUCGUUCUGGGUGGUGUCGCGGCCACCGGAAGAACCAUGAAUGGUUCUAACCCGAGAAUGGCGCAAAAGGGGAGAGGGGAAAACUACUUUUCUAUCUGUUUUUUUGAAGAAGAUCUGAUUAGUUUUUAGGUUUUUUUUUACCUUUUAUUUUUGUUUCUCAGGGGACGUCUAAACGGCGCCGUUUGGAGUCUGAUCUGUGGCUCCGAAACGACACCGUACUGACCUACAUUGACCUUCAACCCGAUAACCCGACCUAGUGGGCGAAGGAUCCACGCGUUUUAAAGCCAAACGGGCUAUUUACGCUUUGGGUCCCUCUACUUUUCUGGCGUGUUUCAAUCCGGUUCUUCUAUCUAUUUUUAAAUCUAAUCUUUUAUUUCAUUUUCUUUUCGAUUUAGUCCGCUGUGAAGUGCUGCGAUUUGGGGAAGCGGAGUAUUUCCCAAUCGACCCCCUAUAUAAUUCACACACUGCAGUAGGGCCCUCCAUUUUAUCUAAAUCUCAUUUAUUUCCUGAUAUUUUGAUUUUGUUUGUGAUUUAAUCCUUCUUGUUAUUAUAUUUUUAGAAGCUUAUUGUCAUUUGUUGUUACAUUUUCUUUAUAUAUUUGUUUUCAGAUAUAAAUCAUCUAACGUCUUUAUAGAAAAUUAAUUUUAAAUAAUAAAGCUUUAUGUUUUUAUAUACAUGCGCAUAUAACAUGAUUUCCAUUCUUUUAGAAUAAGCAUACACAUAUAAUGAUGUAUUAUCAUUUGCGAAUGACGCUUUUUCUUCCUUUAUUUUAUUUUAUAUUUUUCAUGUAAAAAGAAAAAAACCUUAUUCCUAUAAAACACUUGUCGUUUUAAUUAAUUUAUUUAACUUUUAUGUAUCAUCACUAUGUAUAUACUAUUAUUUUACUAAGUUUUACUUGUAUAGAUUAGAAUGCAUGUACUGAUUUCAAGUUGUUUGCUUAUAUUUCACUACGUAUUUUAUUUGAUUUCUUUUAUAUAUGUCCUUACCAAAUUGUUUUAAAUACUUGUAUUAUUGGUUGUUGUCUCUUUUUUUUGACUCGUUUAUAGAUUACGAAUCGAUGGGCUGUUUAAUUUUGAAUGUGGAUGUUUGUAUGAUUAUUAAAGUUAAUGUUUGUAUUCACCUAUUGUUGGUUUAAUUGUUGCUAAUUUAAGUUUAAAUUUUUAUUUAUCUUCUACGAUAUGUGUAUCAUUGUUUAAUCACAUUCUUUCGUAAGAGUUGUUUUAUAUUAAAGAUUUAUAAUUGUCUUAUUUCAUGUUUCCUUUAAAAAAGGGGAUGUGGCGUUCAUAAGUCCUCGAAAGAAUCGUGCCUUAACUUACUAGGCUUCGAUUCUUCUCGAUGAACUUAGGUAAUCAAGCAUCCAUUUUUUUUAAAAAAAAAGAGAAAAUCAUUCAAUUAUUAAAAUAAAAUUCUUAAGAUUUCAAAAUGUUACAUCCUAACUUACUGGAUAUGACGUUUUGUUAUCUCGAUUUUAAAAUAAAGGCAAUGUUUGAUGUUUAAGAAUUUCAGAAAAUUGAUCCCUAACUUAUUGGGUUCGGAUUUCCUGAUCAACUUAAAUAAAUCAAAUAUCCUUCUUUAGAUACCUGAUUUUCUAAAAAGGGGGUACACAUUUAAUUCCAAAAAUCGAAUUGCUGCACCCUAACUCACUGAGCGUAGCAAUUUAUUUUCUCCAAAAUGAUUCCAUCUUAUUAUUCAUUUUUUUGUUCAUGCAAAUUUAAACUUCAAAGAUCAUAUUUUUAAAAUCUUUCCAAAUUCUUGACACUAAGACAUUAAACAAUCAAUUCGGUACCAAUUUUGGGCGUUGCGAGGGUGCUAAUCCUUCCUCGUGCGUAACCGACUCCCGGACCUGUUUUCUUAAAGUUUGUAGACCCUAAAAAUUAUUUUUAAAGUGACCCGAUCACACCUCAAUAAAAGAUCGGUGGCGACUCCCCAUUUUUUAUUUUCAAAAAGUCGAUCCCCGUUUUUUAACUUACAAAAAAGCUGUCGACAGCUUGGCGACUCCGCUGGGGAACAUUCAGAGAGUCAGGCAGUAAAAUUGAUUGUUUUUGUCUUAUUUUCGAAAUUCAAAAAUUUGAUUUUUGGAUCUUCUCUUUGCAUAUGUUUGUAUGAUUAUUGUGUUUUAUAACUUGUCAUCAUAUUGCAUAAGGACUUUUUAGUCUUGCCUUUUUUUAAGUGGGAGUGAGAAGCUACUCCUUCGUGAGGUUUUCACCUCCGUGCAGGAUAGUGGAUCACUUUCGGAGUACAUCCGUACCUAUGUCUUCGUGAGAUUUUCAUCUCCGUGCAGCCAUAGGAAAAUGUAUUCCCCUGAACCAAACUUGGUCUGUAUGAGUCUGUAACGGGUGAAGACUGAGGAAUCUGCUGGUUCAGGUACCUUGAAUUUAGAGCCAAACCGCAUAUAGAUAGCCUAGGAGUCCAGCUUAGGUAUAAUUCCCCCAAACUCUAGGGAUUGCUCUUGUAAAUGCUUGUUUCUCUUAAAUUUGUUGCCAAUUGUGUUGAUAUGUUAUACUGACUUAUGGUGUUUAUUUGCUAUGUUUGCAUGUCAUUACAUAUUCAAAAGAGUGUCGAUUCAAGUUCGAUUGUUAAAUUAGGAAGUUUGUCAUGGAAAACGACUUUCUUGAUAAGGUGGAAGACAGUGCCAUGGUCCGUAUAUGGUCAGAGAAUGUGCAACUGGAAAAGGGAGACAGUUUAGCUAAAGAUUAUGUGUCAGAGCUGUGGGACUAUACUCGUAUUAGCGUGACACAAAAUAGCCUGCAGGAGCUCAGAGAAAUAUGGGAUAAGUGGAAUGAUGAGACUAGGCAGUUAUUUUAUUCUAGUUAUGGAGAUUUGCCGUAUUUGCUUGAUGUCAAGGUAGAUGAGCAAUUGUUUCGGGCCCUUGCUCAAUAUUCGAACCCGGCAUAUAGUUGUUUCACUUUUGGAAAAGUAUAUUUGGUACCUACGGUGGAGGAAUAUACGGCCUUACUACACUGUCCAAGGCUUCAAGUGGAUAAAGCAUAUUCUAGAGCCGCGUAUGUCCCGACAUUUUGGAAUAAAUUGAUGAAUAUUACUGGCAUGAGCGAGCAGUGGAUUACGGCCAGGAUCAAACAGAAAGGGGAGUGUAAAUGUAUUCCAUGGAAAAAUUUGCGAGACUUGAUUAUAGCGCAUCCGGAUGGGAAAAAGAAGGUCGACGUGUUUGCUUUGAGUAUCUACGGGUUAGUGAUCUUUCCUAGAGCGUUGGGGCAUGUUGACGAGGCAGUUUCGGAUCUCUUUGAUCGAUUGAGUAAAGGGGUCAUGCCUGUUCCGGCGAUUUUAGCUGAAACGUUUAGAUCCAUGAAUGCGUGUAGGCGAGCUGGAGAGGGCAGAUUCAUAGGUUGUGCACAAUUAUUGUUAGCCUGGUUUCAUAGUCAUUUCUGGAAGGUCGAAAAAAUUUCGUAUCGGGUUUUCUGUGGGCAUUACUCCCCGUUAAAAGAGAUAGUGGCUACGCCAAGAAGGGACGACAUAUCAGAAGAAAAUUGGAUAGCAAUCCUGCAAAAUCUUUAAGAUGAUGAUGUGGAAUGGAGAGCUCCCUGGUUGAUUUCUGAUGAAGUCCUUUACCGUUGUGGAAGCUUUGACUGGGUCCCAUUGCUAGGGAUUUGGGGGGCCAUCGGGUAUGCACCUUUGUUGGUCCUAAGGCAAUACAAUUCGAGACAGUUUGUGCCGGCAACGCAAGGUUUAGCUCAAUGUGAGUUCUCGUACCGCGGAGACAAUUACAAGAGAAGGGUGAAAGAAAUUUCUCAGGCUUGGAAUCAGGUUCAUAGGAUGAAAAGACUAACUGUGGGUCCAAUGGGAACUCUAGAGUACGGAGAAUGGCGAAGCAAGAGAAUUAAUGAUAACAUCCCAGAGUUAAACUUGGAGGAUGCCCGAUCAAUGGAGGAAUAUUUACAAAUUGUCCCAUCAGAAUUGGAGAUUAUAAAGCAAGACUUCGAAAAGAUGAAUUCAGAACUUGAAAGGAAAAUAGAGCGUUUGGAAGAAGAGAAGAUGCAUUUGAGGCUGGACGUGGAUGUCCAAAAGUUAGAGGCCGAAACAUUGAAGAAAGGGAAGAAUAAAGUGGAAGAAGACCUGGAUAGCUUAAAGACAAACUACAAAAUGUUAAGGGUAUCAAUGAGAACCGCGGGGCUAGGAAAGACUUCAGAACAAUGGCGACGGGAAAUCCAAGAGGAAAGAAACAAGGCUGAAGGAUGGGAAAAGAAAUACCAAGAAACUCAGGUACAAAACCAGGCCCUGGAGAGGAAUUUGUUAGAAAGCCGGAGCAUGACAAAUGAAUUAAAGGCACGAAUAGUCAAACUUGAAAGGUCUCUUCACCGUUACUGAAAUCGUAAUACCGCGAUGGAAUUAAGAGCAAGCUUGAACAAGAUUAAGGAAACAAAGAAAAGAGUGAAAGAGUUAGAGGCGAUCCUACAGGAUUGUGAGGCGCGGAUUACAUUUUUCGAAGCAAAUGAGGAACGUCAGAAAGAGCAGCUCCAUUACUAUCAAAGCCAAGUUAGAGACAGAGAUCACGUCAUGGGAGAAGCUGUGACCCAGAUUUAGGAGGUAGCCAAUUACUUGCAGACCCUGGAGAUACAGGCUGAUACUUUGAGCGUAAAGUACGAGCUGGAAUCAGACCGGGGAAGAGAGCUUGCUUCGCUGCUUUAAAGGAUUAAAAUUCUGAGCAUUAGGGCAAAAUUGUAUAUGUAAUUUAUCUUAUGUAAUGAAUGCUGUUAUCCAAAUGAAGCUUUCUAAAUGAAAUUGAAUUAGAAUCGAUGUCUUUUUUGCAUUCAUGCAUUGCAUCACAUUGUAUCAUAUGUAUUAAAAUCCAUUAAAAGACCCUAAUUGGUUAAAAUUAUUACAGUUAACCUGGAAACCGAUAAAAGCUCACCCAUUAAGCAUCAAUAUGGAACUCGACGGAAAACUAAGGAAAUGGACCAAAGACUGGAAAAACUGGAACAAAUGCAGCGGGAUAUGCAAGAACGAUUACAAACACAAAUGCAAGAGCGACUAGAUAAAAUUCAAGAGGACAUGAUGGAAAAGUUGAUCAAAGCUCAAAAGGAUUCCAUGGCUGAAUUGACCCAUCUAUUGACGAAAGGAGUAGAUAAAGGAAAGGGCCCUAUGGCUGAUCAUGGAGAGGGUAGCGAGGAUCCGUUGUAUCCUCCUGGUUUCACUCCACCAAAUGCACGAACCCAAAUUGAAAUGUGCCCAAGAGGACCGUCUGUCACAAUUAUGCCACAACAACUACAAACCGGUGCCACAAUUUUUCAAGGACGAUCGAGUUUUAACUAGGGAGAAAACCCAAUCAAUCCCACUAUCCCAGAUUUUGAUGAAGCAGCUGAAGAAGGUAAAGCGAGCACGGAAUUGACAAAACAGUGGGAGGAUAGGUAUAGGUGGUUGGAAGAAAAGUUCAAAGCCUUGGAAAGUGCUGAUAGUAAUCAGGAAAUUGACGCUAAAGAUCUAAGCUUGGUCCCAGAUUUGGUACUACCUCCUAAAUUUAAGAUGCCUGAAUUUGAGAAAUAUAACAGAACUAGUUGCCCCGAGGCCCACAUCACUAUGUUUUGUAGAAGGAUGACUGGCUACGUCAAUAACGAUCAGUUAUUAAUCCACUGUUUUCAAGACAGUUUAGUAGGGGCAGCGUCUAAAUGGUACAAUCACUUGAGUCGUACCAAGAUCAGUUCCUGGAGAGACCUAGCACAGGCUUUCAUGAAGCAGUACAACCAUGUGACGGAUAUGACCCCCGAUAAAAUUACGCUACAAAACAUGGAGAAGAAACCAAGUGAGAGUUUCAGACAGUACGCUCAAAGAUGGAGGGAAGUUGCCAUCCAAGUCCAACCACCGCUCUUAGAAAGAGAAACCACAAUGCUCUUUAUCAAUACCUUAAAAGCCCCAUUCAUCACGCACAUGCUAGGAAGUGCAACCAAAAGUUUCUUAGAUAUAGUAAUGAAUGGUGAAAUGAUUGAGAAUGCCAUCAGAAAUGGGAAAAUAGAAGCAGGAGAGAGCAACAAAAAGCCAGCCUCGAGAAGGAAAGAAAGUGAAGUAAAUAAUGUUGAUGCAUACAACAAGUCAAUCACGGUGAACCAGCCGAGGAAGGUGAAUGUUGGUCAACAGGGUUCAACGAGACAAGAAUCUGGUAGGAGACAAGGUACGGAGAAGCCCCAGUUCACACCAAUUUCGAUGUCAUACAGAGAGCUAUAUCAGAAUUUGUUUAACGCACACGUAGUUUCACCCCAUUACUUGACCCCUUUGUAGCCCCCGUAUCCCAAGUGGUACGAUGCGAGCGCCCAAUGUGACUACCAUGCCGGAAUUAUAGGGCACUCAAUAGAAAAUUGCACUGCUUUUAAGAAGCUGGUCGAAAAGUUUAUUAGCAUGGGUGUUGUCAAGUUUGAUGACUCAUCUAACACAGAAAAUCCGCUUCCCAAUCAUACUGAUAAGGGAGUGAACAUGAUGAGCGAAAGUUGGGGGGAAAAGGUCAAGAAUGACAUCGCUGAAGUAAAAACUCCGUUGAAGUGGGUUUGGAGACAAAUGGUGAUGAGAGGGUUGGUUAUUUCAAAUUCUGAAGGAAGAUGUGAAGCUGAAAACUUUUGUGAAUUCCACCAUGAGGUAGGACAUGAAAUUCAAGAGUGUGAGGGAUUCAGGGAUUUGGUCCAGAGCAUGAUGGACAACAAGGAGAUGAGGUUUUAUGAAAAAGCAGAGGGUAAAGGAAAUAUUUGCGCAUCCGAGUUGGAAGAAAAGACUACGGGGAUGAAUCAUCCUGUGGUCAUCAUUUCACGCCCUUAGAACAAUGGGUUUAGUGUCCAUACAACACCAAAAAUCGUAAUCUAGAAACCAUCAAAUUUUCCAUACAAGAAUGACAAAAUGGUACCGUGGAAUUAUGGAUGUAACGUGACAAUCUUGGGAAAAGAAGCAGAAAGAAAUCAAGAAGUAGGUUCUUAUACACGCAAUGGGAAACGAUAUGAUGCUCAGGCAGAACUGUCAAGAGAAGAGAAUUGGAAGAAAGAGCAGAAGAAAGGAAAGGCCGUGAAAGUUGAGUCAUUGGUUAAUGAGCUGGUGAAAGAAGAGGAGACGAAGGAAUUUUUGAAGUUUUUAAAACACAGCGAAUAUAGCGUUGUGGAAUAGUUACGCAAACAGCCAGCCCGCAUUUCAAUAUUGGCCUUGCUCCUAAGUUCAGAAUCACACCGAAACGCACUAUUAAAAGUACUAAAUGAAACAUAUGUGGCGGAGGAUAUUUCGGUGAACAAGCUGGAUCGGCUGGCUAAUAAUAUAAAUGCUGACAAUUUUAUAUUCUUUAGCGAUGACGAAAUACCAUCGGGAGGAAGAGGUUCCACUAAAGCUCUGCACGUCACUGCCCGAUGCAAUGGGCGCAUACUCCCGGGGAUCCUGAUUGAUAACGGAUCUACACUGAACGUAUUACUUUUAUCUACUCUCAGUCGGCUACCGGUAGACAGUUCCCACAUGAAAACGAGCCAGAGCAUAGUAAGGGCAUUUGAUGGAACGGAAAAGAAGGUUAUGGGGAGAAUUGAGGUACCAUUAAAGAUUGGCCCAAUUACUUAUGAUGUGGACUUCUUGGUGAUGGAUAUUAAGCCUUCCUACAAUUGUUUAUUGGGAAGGCCAUGGAUACACUCAGCUGGGGCAGUACCUUCAUCGCUACACUAGAAGGUGAAGAUAGUGUCAGAGGAUCGGGUGAUCACCAUAAAUACCGAGGAAGAGAUCAUAGCAAUGGUAACUGGUGAUGCACCUUACGUGGAGAUUGAUGAUGAGGCAGUGGAAUGCUCCUUUUGGUCUUUAGAAUUCGUGAACGCAAUGUUCAUUGCUGAAGGAAGCAGAGUUCCGAUACCGAAAAUAUCCAAGACCACUGAAAUGGUGUUGCAAUUGAUGAUUGGAAGAGGGGCUGCACCCGAAAAAGGAUUGGGUAAGUAUCUUCAAGGAAAGAUUGAAGCACCGAUGCUAAGGGAAAAGUUUGACAGUUAUGGCUUAGGAUACAAGCCAGACGUAAAGCAGAAGAAGAAAGAGGUGGAAAAAAGACAAGAGAGAAGAAGGGUACGUUUAAGCGGAAAAGAGGUCAAGUGGGAGCCUAUGUCCUUUCCCCACAUAUUCACAUCUUUUGUAUCGGGUGGAUUUAUUCAUCCUGAACGUGGGGUGCCCCGAAGUGAAGACAUUGGAGAAAUGUUGAAAAAUGUACAUAUCAAUGCUACAGAAACAUCUGAGAAAAGGGCCUUGCUGGAGAUCUGUCCUUGCGAACCUGGAAGCGAGCUAAACAACUGGACUGUGGAAGAAAUCCUUGUAGUCUUUAGGGCUUAUUCAGAGUAAUGCUCAAAACAUUCUAGUUGUCUUAGCCUAGAAAUGACAGGAAAUCUUUUGUGAAAAUGGCUUGAGCCUGAACAUCGUUAUUCUAAUAAAAUACAUCUUUACAUUCAUAUUCGAGCAAUUAUUCUUUUUCUUUUUAUACAAAUAAGCACUUUCUAAUUGAUUUUCCUGCAAAUAAUUCUUUCAUUUAUAACUUUAUUGAACAAAUAAUCAUUCAUAAAUUCAUAUAUUCUUGGUAUAUUCUUUGAUAUGCCCUCAUAGGUCCUCAGAUAUCAACGACAUGAAUGAUGUUGUUUCAGACACGGAGCUUUUUUUUGAGCAAGACAUGUGUUUAGAGGGAUCUCCCGACUUUGAAGAUGAUGAAGACUGUGGUAUAUCUCCAGACUUGUCGAGAAUGGUAGAACAAGAGGAUGAGCAGAUCCUACCUUAUAGGGAAUCAUUAGAAAUCGUGAGCCUAGAAGAGGGAAAGGAGGUGAAAAUUGAAACUGAAAUCGCCGCAAAGACAAAGCAAGACCUCAUUGAAUUGCUGCGAGAAUUCAAAGAUGUUUUCGCAUGGUCAUACCAAGAUAUGCCCGGGCUAAGCACUAGCAUUGUGGUACAUCGUCUACCCAUAAAAGAAGAUUGUAAAUCAGUUCAGCAGAAGCUCAGGAGGAUGAGACCUGAUGUUGUGCUAAAAAUAAAAGAAGAGGUCAAAAGGCAGUUCGAUGCUGGGUUCUUACAGGAGAUCAAAUAUUCGGAUUGGGUAGCCAACAUCGUCCCCGUUCCCAAGAAAGAUGGAAAGGUACGGAUGUGCAUGGAUUAUAGGGAUUUAAAUAAGGCUAGUCCGAAAGAUAAUUUUCCGUUGCCUCACAUUGAUACCUUGGUAGACAACGCGGCGGGAUACUCAUUAUUCUCUUUCAUGGAUGGCUUUUCUGGAUACAAUCAAAUAAAAAUGCACCCUAAAGAUAUGGGAAAGACAACAUUCAUUACAUUAUGGGGAACAUUUUACUACAAAGUGAUGCCUUUCGGAUUAAAGAAUGCGGGAGCAACAUAUCAAAGGGCUAUGGUGACCUUGUUUCAUGACAUGAUGCAUAAGGAGGUCGAAGUCUAUGUUGAUGAUAUGAUUGCCAAAUCUAGAACUGAAGAAGAACAUGUCUAAGUCUUGAAGAGAUUAUUCUUGAGAUUAAGGAAAUUUCAGCUCAGACUUAACCCUGCAAAAUGCAUGUUUGGAGCCAGAUCAGGGAAGUUAUUAGGCUUCAUAGUUAGUAAGAAGGGGAUUGAGGUAGACCUUGACAAAGUAAAAGCAAUACGAGACCUACCUCCUCCGCGUACUCAGAAGGAAGUCCGAAGUUUCCUAGGAAGAUUGAAUUACAGUGCUCGAUUCAUUGCACAAUUGACGGAGAAAUGUGAUCCAGUAUUCCGUCUUUUAAAGAAGCAUAAUCCGGGUGAUUGGGAUGAGGAAUGUCAGCAGGCUUUUGAUAAGAUAAAGUAAUAUUUGGCUAGUACUCCCGUAUUAUCACCACCAAGUCCGGAUAGGCCAUUGAUAUUGUAUCUAAUGGUAUUUGAGAAUUCUAUGGGAUGUGUAUUAGGUCAACACGAUGAAACGGGAAAGAAGGAAAGAGCGAUAUAUUAUCUCAGCAAGAAAUUCACUGGCUGUGAAAUGAAAUAUUCAUCAAUCGAGAAAUUGUGUUGUGCUUUAAUCUGGGCAACACGAAGACUGAGGCAAUAUAUGUUGUAUCAUACGACAUGGCUGAUCUCGAAGUUGGACCCUUUAAAAUAUAUGAUGGAAUCAACUGCUUUAAAUGGGAGAAUGGCUAGAUGGCAGAUCCUGCUAUCUGAGUUUGACAUAGUAUAUGUAAGUCAGAAGGCCAUAAAAGGGAGUGCAAUAGCUGAUUUCCUGGCUAGUAGAGCUUUGGAAGAUUAUGAGCCCUUAAACUUUGAUUUUCCAAACGAGGACUUGAUGUGUGUGGCAAACACUGAAGCAAACUCUCGAUCGGACCACAUCUGGAAGUUAAAUUUUGAUGGAGCUUCAAAUGCUAUAGGUAAUGGAAUUGAGGCAGUCUUAGUAUCCCCAAGUGGAGACCAUUAUCCCGUCGCUGAAAAAUUAGACUUUGAUUGCAGAAAUAACAUGGCGGAAUAUGAAGCAUGUAUUAUGGGCAUUCGUGCGGCCAUUGAACUGAAAAUCAAAGUGCUUAAAGUAUAUGGAGAUUCCGCGUUGGUGAUAUACCAACUCAAAGGAGAAUGGGAAACCAGAGACCCUAAAUUGAUCAAUUAUAAAGAACUGGUUCUUGAAUUGAUUAACGAGUUUGAUGAUAUCACUUUCAGUUAUCUCCCACGAGAGGAAAACCAAAUGACUGAUGCCUUGGCUACUCUAGCCUCGAUGAUUCAAGUAAACAGGCUUGAUGUAAUGAAGCCUAUUCAGAUGAGUAUCUAUGAAACCCCAGCUCAUUGCUACAAUAUUGAUGAGGAAGGAAAGGACGAUCACCCUUGGUAUCAGAGUAUCCUGCAGUAUGUGAAGAAUCGAGAGUACCCUAGUCAAGCAACAGAGAACGACAAGAGAACUCUGAGAAGAAUAGCCGUCGAAUAUGUCUUAGACGGGGCGGUGCUAUAUAAAAGAAGGAAAGAUCAGGUACUGUUGAGAUGUGUGGAUGCCAUGGAAGCUAAGAAAAUUUUGGAGGAAGUCCAUGAAGGUAUCUGUGGGACGCACGCCAAUGGCUUCACCAUGGCCAGACAGAUCAUGAGAUUUGGGUGCUAUUGGUCCACUAUGGAAAAGGAUUGCAUUAUUUACGCCAAGAGAUGCCAUAAAUGUCAGAUUUGUGGGGACAAGAUGCAUGCACCCCCUUCGCCACUUCAUGUUAUGACCUCUCCAUGACCGUUUUCUAUGUGGGGUAUGGAUGUCAUUGGGCCGAUAUCGCCGAAGGCUUCUAACGGGCAUCGCUUCAUCUUCGUAGUCAUUGAUUACUUCACCAAGUGGGUAGAAGCUGCUUCAUAUGCGAAUGUCACAAAGUCAGCAGUCAGCAAAUUCUUAAAAAAAGAGAUCAUUUGUCGGUAUGGAAUGUCUGAAAGAAUCAUAUAUGACAAUGCGUUGAAUUUAAACAAUAGCACAAUAGCUGAAGUUUGCAGCCAAUUUAAGAUCAAACAUCAUAACUCCUCGCCGUAUCGUCCAAAAAUGAAUGGUGCAGUGGAAGCAGCCAAUAAGAACAUUAAAAGAAUCGUGGGGAAAAUGACUGAGACUUACAAAGAUUGGCAUGAGAAGUUAUCCUUUGCUCUCAUUGCCUAUCGAACAUCUGUCAGAACUUCUACCGGGGCAACACAUUUUUCUCUAGUUUACGGAAUGAAGGCUGUACUACCCAUUGAAGUUGAGAUCCCCUCUCUAUGGGUAUUAUCCGAACUCCAGUUGGACGAAGCCGAGUGGGUCCAAUCUCGUUAUGAUCAGUUGAACCUAAUAGAGGAGAAGAGGUUGAGAGCCAUUCACCAUGGGCAAAUGUACCAGAAACGAAUGAUGCGAGCUUAUGAUAAAAAAGUUCGCCCCAGAGAAUUUCGCGAAGGAGACUUGGUGCUAAAAAAGAUCCUUCCUAUGCAAAAGGACUUUAGAGGAAAAUGGAUGCCAAAUUGGGAGGGUCCUUACGUUGUAAAAAAGGCUUUUUCUGGUGGAGCUUUAAUCCUAAGUGAGAUGGAUGGUAAAAGUUUUCCAAACCCCGUAAACGCAGACUCCGUCAAAAGAUACUUCGCUUGAAGGAAGGGGACCAAAGUGAAAACCCGCAAAGAGCGCUUUGCUCCAAAAAAAAAAUUUAGAGAAGCCAAGGUGAAAACCCGCAAAGGGCGCCUUGAGAUCAAGGGGGAUUCGAGUCGAAAACCCGAAAAGGGUGGCUCAAAUAUUAGUCAGGGAAGGGAAUUAGAAGAUCGGAACCGUUCAAAUUUUGAUCAGGGCACACGAUGAUUUUGCUAUACCUGAACCAGCAAGAAAGGGCAUUCGACAUCUCGGAGCAUUGACAGAGUACUGCAGAUCUCCUAAACACAUGCUAAACUCAGAAUAGUCUCCAGAAGUUUGUACAGAGAAAUUCAAGCUGCGAUAACUGGGGCACCUAAUUCUUAUUGUAUUGAAUUUGUUAAUACAUUUUUCAGUCAACUUCUUUGUUAUUCUUCUUUCGCUAUGGUUGAUAUUUCAUCUCUUUUGAGCUGCGCUCAGAACCAACAUUUAUCCACAGUCAUAAUCUUUCAGCAAACAUGUUACAUUAGAAUAAUGAUUAAUGGGCUACUAAACUUUCAUAAAGAAAGUUUUGCACAUUACUCUGAGAAAAGUCUCUAAAUAAUACAGUAAUCUGAAACAGGACUAUUGUUUAGAAUGAACUAGGUUUAAAGGUCAGAAAUCUAAGAAAAGGUCUGAUUUUAGGCAAUUCCUUCGGAUUUUGUUGACGGAAGUGUCAGUCGGAUGAAAUGUCAGCAAUGAUCAUGAGUUAGAAAAGAGAGAUCUCCUUGAAGGAAAUUUCUUCGUGCAUAAGCAUUUAAUAUGAAAUCUUGAGAGUGGUAUACCAAAAGGUUUACACAUUCGGUAUCCUCCAAUCGUGGUAGAAUAUGAAGAAAGGACCAGAGUUCCCCAUUUUUUUUUGAGUUGCAUAAUGAAUACAACUCAAUAAAGUGAACUCUGAGGUUUACAAUGGAGGCAAUUUGACUAAGGGAUUCUCCAGAAAGGCCAGUCGAGCAAGAAGGUGUUGUACCAACGUUAGCCUUAAUAAACUCCGAGUAAUGACCACCUAAGCGGGAUCAUUUUCAAAAAUAAAAUUUUACAUUCAUGCAAACACCAUUCACACAUGUCUAGUUAGGAGCAUUUGCUUCAUUUUGAUCAUGCCGUCCUAAUCAUUAGGCAUAAUCAGGUUCAUCAUACAGGUCAUGUUCCCUAGAGAACAGAUCAGUGAAGAUAGCAGAUCCUAUCUCCCUAAGUAAUAGUGGAGCGGAUCGAAGACGGCGAAUCUCAUCUUCCCCAGGAGUAAGGAAACGGAUUUAGACCAUUAAUCCUAUCUCCCUAAGCAAUAGUGGAGUGGAUCAAAGACGGCGAAUCUCAUCUUCUCCAGGAGUAGGGAAACAAAUUUAGACCAUUAAUCCUAUCUCCCUAAGCAAUAGUGGAGCGGAUCGAAGACGGUGAAUCUCAUCUUCCCCAGGAGUAGGGAAACGGAUUUAGACCAUUAAUCCUAUCUCCCUAAGCAAUAGUGGAGCGGAUCGAAGACAGCGAAUCUCAUCUUCCCCAAGAGUAAGGAAACAGAUUUAGACCAUUAAUCCUAUCUCCCUAAGCAAUAGUGGAGCAGAUCGAAGAUAGCGAAUCUCAUCUUCCCCAGGAGUAGGGAAACAUAUUUAGAACAUUAAUCCCAUCUCCCUAAGCAAUAGUGGAGCGUAUCGAAGACUGCGAAUCUCAUCUUCCUCAGGAGUAGGGAAACGGAUUUAGACCAUUAAUUCUAUCUCCCUAAGAAAUAGUGGAGCGGAUCGAAGAUGGCGAAUCUCAUCUUCCACAGGAGUAGGGAAACAAAUUUAGACCAUUAAUCCUAUCUCCCUGAGCAAUAGUGGAGCGGAUCGAAUACGGCGAAUCUCAUCUUCCCCAGGAGUAGGGAAACGGAUUUAUACCAUUAAUCCUAUCUCCCUAAGCAAUAGUGGAGCGGAUCGAAGACGGUGAAUCUCAUCUUCCCCAAGAGUAGGGAAACAUAUUUAGACCAUUAAUCCCAUCUCCCUAAGCAAUAGUGGAGCGGAUCGAAGACGGCGAAUCUCAUCUUCCACAGGAGUAGGGAAACGAAUUUAGACCAUUAAUCCUAUCUUCCUAAGCAAUAGUGGAGCAGAUCGAAAACGGCGAAUCUCAUCUUCCCCAGGAGUAGGGAUUUAGACCAUUAAUCCCAUCUCCCUAAGCAAUAGUGGAGCGGAUCGAAGACGGCGAAUCUCAUCUUCCCCAUGAGUAGGGAAACGGAUUUAGACCAUUAAUCCUAUCUCCCUAAGCAAUAGUGGAGCAGAUCGAAGACGGCAAAUCUCAUAUUCCCCAGGAAUAGGGAAACAGAUUUAAGCCACAAAUACUACCUCAUCGACGUUGUGGUACCAACUUUUACCUCUGAAGAUACAGUAGGAUAGAAAGAGGCAGCUCGAAGAAGAAGAGCACCAAGGUCCAAGCAUGACCGGGCAAAAUUGAUCUGUUUUUAGUCUUUGCUCUAUUCCUGUUACACGAUAAUAAGCAAAGAGGGGCAGCUGUAAUAGGCCCAAGUUGCCCGGGGCACAUUUAAAAGGCCAAAAAUUCAAAAAGGAAAUAUUAGAGUCAGUCCAAAAGGGUCCAUUUACAAAUUGGCCCAAACCAGUUACCAAAAUAAUACAAAGGCCCGAAAUACAAACUAAACCCAAUAUAAAUAGUCCAAAUCAGCCUAGCCCAGACCCGAUUACAAUAGGAUGGGAAGCCCUAGUGUCAGCCCCAACCAGCGCCGCAGCAGACGUCUCCUCGCACCUAGCACCGCUCGCACGAGCCUCGUACGCGCGCCUUCGCCUCCGUACAUGCCACAUCCGCAACCUUUGCACACAGUAUCUGCAAGAGACGCACAAAGCGCAGCAGAAACAGACCACAAAACGAAAAGAGGCAGAAAUCGGCAGAGAAAAGUAAAAAAUAAGAAAAUAAAAGAAAAAUAGAAAAAAAUUGUCUUGAUUUUUAUUUUAUUUUAUUUUCGGGUUAUAAAAACCCCAAGUUGUAUCAUUUUCAAAAAGGGAGGAAAUCAGAAUAUAAAAAAAACAACAAAAAAGAGGUAGAUAUUUCUCUCUUCUUUCGAUUUUGUUGCGUUCUUCCUUUCGAUUCUCUUAGUGAUAAACUAAAUAGGAGUUUAAGUUUCGAGUUUACCUGCCUCGAUGACCCAGCCGUCGUUUUGGGUGGUGUCGCGGCCACCGGAAGAACCAUGAAUGGUUCUAACCCGAGAACGGCGCAAAAGGGGAGAGGGGAAAACUACUUUUCUAUCUGUUUUUUUGAAGAAGAUCUGAUUAGUUUUUAGGUUUUUUUUUACCUUUUAUUUUUGUUUCUCAGGGGACGUCUAAACGGCGCCGUUUGGAGUCUGAUCUGUGGCUCCGAAACGACGCCGUACUGACCUACAUUGACCUUCAACCCGAUAACCUGACCUAGUGGGCGAAGGAUCCGCGCGUUUUAAAGCCAAACGGGCUAUUUGCGCUUUGGGUCCCUCUGCUUUUCUGGCGUGUUUCAAUCCGG